CCAUCCCGCCAACGUUUCGAACUCUUCCCCAUCCCUCAUUCUCUGUUGAGCUAUCUCGAUCGCCUCGUUCGAAAUGGCUUGCUCUCUUUUCCUUCCCUCUCUAUCUCAGUUUCGUCUUGCCUUUCUGAUCCGAUUUGGUUCUCUGUUUUGCUCAGCUAGUGAAGGAAACCGAGAUCACAGACAAUGAUUCGCUGCUCUUGUGGAUUGCAUGAGCGUUUCCUUCUGGAUCUCUUUUCUUCAGAUCGGUGUUUUCUGCUGCUUGAUCAUGCUAGAUCGAGACCCUUUCUUUCAAAUCGGGAGUAUUCACCGUUUCAUAGGAAGGAGACGAAGCGAUUAUUUAGUUCUAUUGGAUUUUCUUCGUAAUUUCUUACUAAUUGUGCAACUAUAGUUGUUACUAGUGAUCAGACUGUGCCUGAAUUGAAAGUAACGCAUAGUAGCCUUCCGUGUCUUCCAGACUUGGACAGUGUUAGGAUGCUAAAUGAGAUUCUAGUUAAUGCAAUUUUUCGAGAAUGUGGUCUAAGUUCAUUAACUUGGUGAAGUUUUGAGGGGAUUGCUUUCGGUGGCUUAUAGAUCAAUAUGCCAAAAUAUAAUAAUAAUUAUAGUCAUAGUUUUAUUGUAGAUCAGAAAAGUUCUGCUUCUUGUAUUUUGAAGGAGAUAUGUGGUUUUGUCUGAGCAAUUUGGUUUUAAUUUUCACUUAGGUACCUAUGAUGCGUUGCAGAAGAAGUACCUGAAGACGCUUAUGUUCUGUAUUUGUGAGGAGACGUCAGGUCCGAUGAUCGACCAGUAUACUCGAGCUCUGCUGGCAAGAUGAUUCUGAUGAGACCUUUGGAUCAAACGCCUGAGGAGGGUAAGCGUGAUGGCGGUUACUCGUUUGUUUUACUUCAAAAUAAAAAGCUGAAGUGGCUGGUUUCUAUGUUUCGGCGCACAAUUUUGAUGAAGCUCCUUUACCAUGAUGAUGUCACGGUUACAUCAUCCAAGAUGCAAUAUUGAGGCUUCAUGAGGACACUAAUUCCACGUGAAGCGGCAAUUCUCGUUGCAGAUAGGUGCGAUAGGCACUUGAAACAUGGCGGUCUUUCGGACGUGGCACGGACUACAGUGGCACAUAUGGGACUACUCGAACACGAGGUUAGCAAGACAUGCGACAAUAAAUUAGGGUUGUCAAGCACAUAAUAGAUAAGAUGUUUCUAACAUAAUGCUCUGCCUGUCUGAUGCUUUCCAAGGAGCAGAUAUAGAAAUCAUCUUGUAAUUUCGGGAUCCUAUGUCCGGCUGCGAAUCCGUCCGUCGCUUCUAACUCGAGCAGUCACAUCUGUAAGCUGAAUUGCAGCUUUUGUUUCAUGCUUCGCCAUGGUCGGUAGUCCAAGCAAGAUAUGCAAGAUCUACAUAAAUGAACCUGCGUGUGAAUUACCUUGAAGCACAACACUACAAUAAUUGUUGGGAAGGUCCACAACUAUUCAAUGACCACUCACGUAACUCACUGCAUGGGUUGAACUGGUGAAUGCGCAGGUAUCAAAACUCCCUUGCUUUUCUUAAUUUAAAUUUCUUCAGGAAGUACACCUUCAUUAUUCCGUGGCUUAAGACAAACAUCAGAGGACCACAAGAACUUUCACUAAUCUUGUUCCUUCAUCAUUAGAGAUCGUGUAAUGUACUCUGGACCCUGUAAGUACAUUUCAACCCUACCAAAUCAUUGAUCUUUCUCUUUUUAUAAUCCGAUUGCCUUCAGUGUCGUGCGAAGUUUCCACUCUUAUGUCUGGGACUGACAAUCCACCCUAUCAUGAUCAGCGCAGGAUUUGUUUAGUGAAAGCUGGAUGCCCGUGGGUUUUGCUGUCUAUUACCAUCAUCAGAGAUGAACCAAGACAUUUUACAGUGGUCCAGUUGCUACGACUUGUAGUUUGGAAUACUCCAGGCAAAGAUUCUAGAUGUGCUUUUUCUCUCCUACUUCAUCCUGUCUCGAGUUUAGUUUCAACUGUGUCUGGGGUCUCAGGGUCCACAAGAUAGAAUGAGCUCCAAAUCAGCUGGGAAGAAUGAAGAAACAGCAAGGAAUAGGGGCUGAGUUAAAGACACCAACUCAAAAGGUACCCAAUCAUUUCGUUCUUUAUUUCUCUCGAACGUAUUCGGUGUUCAUUAAAGAUUAUUGCUGCCAGAUCCUUGCAUGUAACAGUCAGUAUUGGGAAAGUUUUCGAGGAUUUUUUCAUCUACAUCUGCAUUAGGGUAGCAGAGAAGGGCUUGACGGUAAGCUAUUUUCACUAUUUCUAGCAGGCUUGAAAGAAACAAAUCGCUUAAAACUGUAAACAUUUCUUCCCCCACAUGAACUUUAGGUACUCCAUGCAUGUAGCAUUUAGUCUUUGAUCUUCAUGUUUGAUAUCUGGCAUCUAUCAUUGGAUUCCUUCAAUCUACAACAAAAAACCAGAAAGAACUAUCACUGGUCAUAGGAAGGAGACUCUUGGGAUAGUCGUCUACCAAAAACAAAAACAACGGCGAGAGUUGAAAAAUAGAGAUAGCAACCUUUCUUCCAAAGUCAAAACAAAAUAAAGGAAAAGGUCUGAAAAUUGUGACAAUGGACGGACCAUUACUGCUCUUGCACGGAGAUGGUGCCAAUUUGGUUUAUGAUCUCAGUAGUCCUCGAGAUAUUUGGACUUCUUUGGACGAAUGCACAUUCACGUGGGAAGAACAUCACACGUGUGUCACACAACCAGUUUACAUCUAUGAUUGG